UACGUAGGUGGCAAGCGUUGUCCGGAUUUACUGGGCGUAAAGGGCGUGCAGGCGGUUUGUUAAGUGCAGGGUGAAAGCUCCCGGCUCAACUGGGAGAGGUCCUUGCAUACUGGCAAACUCGAGGGAGGCAGAGGAAAGUGGAAUUCCCGGUGUAGUGGUGAUAUGCGUAGAUAUCGGGAGGAACACCUGUGGCGAAGGCGGCUCACUGGACCACAACUGACGCUGAGGCGCGAAAGCUAGGGGAGCAAACAGG
rnacentral:rRNA from 1 species